UUCUUACCUCUAUUCCAAUUCAUUACGAGCCUAGCAACAGGAGUGGUAUUUUCAAUUCUCAAAUACAGCCACAUUACCUCCCUGGUGAACUCUUCACUGGUUAUAAUCCUACAAUGAAGCCAAACUCUUCAGUGUGGCAAAGGUAGAAGAUUCAGAAAUAGGUCCAAAGUUGGAUGAGAUGGAAGGAAUUUUGCAUGGAAAGCUGACUGCCAAACAUCUGAUUGGACUGGAUGUGCUUUGAUGCUACAUCAUGAAGAUUUUCUACGGUUUAUUACAGGUAAUUCAGGGGUUAUAAUGGUGAGACUGUUUCAUGGAUGGAGACAUCUGAGACUCGAGACGCACCACUCAUCCAUGGAUCACUCACUCUGCCACACCCUCUUCAUUUCAUAAAUUUCGGGAAACAUUUUGGCCAGACCAUUUGUGGAUGGAGCAAUUUGAAACACAGGACAGUUCAUGAUUUGUCUGAAUCUUAUUCAAAACUUGCGACUGAGUUUGUAACUGCUCUACAACAUGCUAAAAAGCAAUAAAGAUGUUCCUAAAUCUUUAGAAGAACAGUGAUUUAAACCUCAAAAUUGUGGGGCAAUAACAAAGAAAUUGGAGUUUAAUGUAAUUUCUGUAUUAAAUAGGGAACCCUUUCUAGUCGUUCAGUGGAAUUGAAGUAUAUAAGAUUUUAAAGAAAAAAAGUCAACCAAAUAAAGUGUCUAUUUUAUAGAUCAAUUAGCUCUU